UAUCCGUAUUGCCCUCCUUAGAAAUAGAUGGUAGCAGCUGCGUGUAUAGGUUUGUAAAUAGUGAAACCUAAACUAAGAUAAUAAAUUGUAUUAAAAUUGUGUCAGAAAAUGAGUCAAAGUCAGUUUUGGGUGUGUGUGUGACGUAGAUAUAAAGGCAAAUCAAGAUGAUUGUCAAACAUUGAGGCCUGGUCCAAUUACUAGAAGUAUUUCCAAAUAAUUGAAGACCAACAUUCAGAGCUAUGUGCAAAAGAUGCUUUCUAAUUAUCCUGGACCGAGUUAUGGAGAUAAUAUCCAAUAAUCAAAUUUGGUGCAUUUAAUUGGGCCUUUGGGCCAUGACCUUGCUUAAGUCGAAUUGGAUUACA
rnacentral:lncRNA from 1 species